AACGAACGCUGGCGGCAGGCUUAACACAUGCAAGUCGAGCGGGCCCGCAAGGGUCAGCGGCGGACGGGUUAGUAACGCGUGGGAACGUGCCUUUUGCUUCGGAAUAGCCCUGGGAAACUGGGGGUAAUACCGGAUGUGCCCUGAGGGGGAAAGAUUUAUCGGCAAGAGAUCGGCCCGCGUUGGAGUAGGCAGUUGGUGGGGUAACGGCCCACCAGGCCGACGACCCAUAGCUGGUUUGAGAGGAUGAUCAGCAACACUGGGGCUGAGACACGGCCCAGACUCCUACGGGAGGCAGCAGUGGGGAAUCUUAGACAAUGGGCGCAAGCCUGAUCUAGCCAUGACGCGUGGGUGAUGAAGGCCUUAGUGUCGUAAAGCCCUUUCGCCGGGGAAGAUAAUGACGGUACCCGGUAAAGAAACCCCGGCUAACUCCGUGCCAGCCGCCGCCGUAA
rnacentral:rRNA from 1 species